UUCGAUCAUGGCUCAGAUUGAACACUGGCGGGAUGCUUUACACAUGCAAGUCGAACGGCAGCACGGACUUCGGUCUGGUGGCGAGUGGCGAACGGGUGAGUAAUGUAUCGGAACGUGCCUAGUAGCGGGGGAUAACUACGCGAAAGCGUAGCUAAUACCACAUACGCCCUUCGGGGAAAAGCGGGGGACCUUCGGGCCUCGCACUAUUAGAAGCAGCCGAUAUCGGAUUAGCUAGUUGGUGGGGUAACGGCUCACCAAGGCGACGAUCCGUAGCUGGUUUGAGGAGGACGACCAAUACGCAGGACUGAGACACGGCCCAGACUCCUACGGGAGAGCAGCGGUGGGGAAUUUUGGACAAUAGGGGAAACCCUGAUCCAGCCAUCCCGCGUGUGCGAUGAAGGCCUUCGGGUUGUAAAGCACUUUUGGCAGGAAAGAAACAGCACGAGAUAAUACGUGCAACUGACAGUACCUGCAGAAUGGCACCGGCUAACUACGUGCCAGCAGCCGCGGUAAUACGUAGGGGUGCAAGCGUUAAUCGGAAUUACUGGGCGUAAAGCGUGCGCGGGCGGUUCGGAAGAAGAUGUGAAAUCCCAGAGCUUAACUUUGGAACUGCAUUUUUAACUACCGAGCUAGAGUGUGUCAGAGGAGGGGUGGAAUUCCGCGUGUAGCAGUGAAAUGCGUAGAUAUGCGGAGGAACACCGAUGGCGAAGGCAGCCUCCUGGGAUAACACUGACGCUCAUGCACCAGCGUGGGAACAGAAGCAAGGAUUAGAUACCCUGGUAGUCCACGCCCUAAACGAUGUCAACUAGCUGUUGGGGCCUUCGGGCCUUGGUAGCGCAGCUAACGCGU
rnacentral:misc_RNA from 1 species